rnacentral:rRNA from 1 species
AGAGUUUGAUCAUGGCUCAGGACGAACGCUGGCGGCGCGCCUAACACAUGCAAGUCGAACGAGUGAGAGAGAGCUUGCUUUCUCGAGCGAGUGGCGAACGGGUGAGUAACGCGUGAGGAACCUGCCUCAAAGAGGGGGACAACAGUUGGAAACGACUGCUAAUACCGCAUAAGCCCACGGGUCGGCAUCGACCAGAGGGAAAAGGAGCAAUCCGCUUUGAGAUGGCCUCGCGUCCGAUUAGCUAGUUGGUGAGGUAACGGCCCACCAAGGCAACGAUCGGUAGCCGGACUGAGAGGUUGAACGGCCACAUUGGGACUGAGACACGGCCCAGACUCCUACGGGAGGCAGCAGUGGGGAAUAUUGCACAAUGGGGGAAACCCUGAUGCAGCGACGCCGCGUGGAGGAAGAAGGUCUUCGGAUUGUAAACUCCUGUUGUUGAGGAAGAUAAUGACGGUACUCAACAAGGAAGUGACGGCUAACUACGUGCCAGCAGCCGCGGUAAAACGUAGGUCACAAGCGUUGUCCGGAAUUACUGGGUGUAAAGGGAGCGCAGGCGGGAAGACAAGUUGGAAGUGAAAUCUAUGGGCUCAACCCAUAAACUGCUUUCAAAACUGUUUUUCUUGAGUAGUGCAGAGGUAGGCGGAAUUCCCGGUGUAGCGGUGGAAUGCGUAGAUAUCGGGAGGAACACCAGUGGCGAAGGCGGCCUACUGGGCACCAACUGACGCUGAGGCUCGAAAGUGUGGGUAGCAAACAGGAUUAGAUACCCUGGUAGUCCACACCGUAAACGAUGAUUACUAGGUGUUGGAGGAUUGACCCCUUCAGUGCCGCAGUUAACACAAUAAGUAAUCCACCUGGGGAGUACGACCGCAAGGUUGAAACUCAAAGGAAUUGACGGGGGCCCGCACAAGCAGUGGAGUAUGUGGUUUAAUUCGACGCAACGCGAAGAACCUUACCAAGUCUUGACAUCCCUUGACGAACAUAGAAAUAUGUUUUCUCUUCGGAGCAAGGAGACAGGUGGUGCAUGGUUGUCGUCAGCUCGUGUCGUGAGAUGUUGGGUUAAGUCCCGCAACGAGCGCAACCCUUACUGUCAGUUACUACGCAAGAGGACUCUGGCAGGACUGCCGUUGACAAAACGGAGGAGGGUGGGGAUGACGUCAAAUCAUCAUGCCCCUUAUGAGCAGGGCUACACACGUGCUACAAUGGCGUAAACAAAGGGAGGCAGAACCGCGAGGUCGAGCAAAUCCCAAAAAUAACGUCUCAGUUCGGAUUGUAGUCUGCAACUCGACUACAUGAAGCUGGAAUCGCUAGUAAUCGCGAAUCAGAAUGUCGCGGUGAAUACGUUCCCGGGUCUUGUACACACCGCCCGUCACACCAUGGGAGUCAGUAACGCCCGAAGUCAGUGACCCAACCGUAAGGAGGGAGCUGCCGAAGGUGGGACCGAUAACUGGGGUGAAGUCGUAACAAGGUA